AAAUUGAAGAGUUUGAUCAUGGCUCAGAUUGAACGCUGGCGGCAGGCCUAACACAUGCAAGUCGAACGGUAACAGGAAGCAGCUUGCUGCUUUGCUGACGAGUGGCGGACGGGUGAGUAAUGUCUGGGAAACUGCCUGAUGGAGGGGGAUAACUACUGGAAACGGUGGCUAAUACCGCAUGACGUCGCAAGACCAAAGAGGGGGACCUUCGGGCCUCUUGCCAUCAGAUGUGCCCAGAUGGGAUUAGCUUGUUGGUGGGGUAACGGCUCACCAAGGCGACGAUCCCUAGCUGGUCUGAGAGGAUGACCAGCCACACUGGAACUGAGACACGGUCCAGACUCCUACGGGAGGCAGCAGUGGGGAAUAUUGCACAAUGGGCGCAAGCCUGAUGCAGCCAUGCCGCGUGUAUGAAGAAGGCCUUCGGGUUGUAAAGUACUUUCAGCGGGGAGGAAGGUGUUGCGGUUAAUAACCGCAGCAAUUGACGUUACCCGCAGAAGAAGCACCGGCUAACUCCGUGCCAGCAGCCGCGGUAAUACGGAGGGUGCAAGCGUUAAUCGGAAUUACUGGGCGUAAAGCGCACGCAGGCGGUCUGUCAAGUCGGAUGUGAAAUCCCCGGGCUCAACCUGGGAACUGCAUUCGAAACUGGCAGGCUUGAGUCUUGUAGAGGGGGGUAGAAUUCCAGGUGUAGCGGUGAAAUGCGUAGAGAUCUGGAGGAAUACCGGUGGCGAAGGCGGCCCCCUGGACAAAGACUGACGCUCAGGUGCGAAAGCGUGGGGAGCAAACAGGAUUAGAUACCCUGGUAGUCCACGCCGUAAACGAUGUCUACUUGGAGGUUGUGCCCUUGAGGCGUGGCUUCCGGAGCUAACGCGUUAAGUAGACCGCCUGGGGAGUACGGCCGCAAGGUUAAAACUCAAAUGAAUUGACGGGGGCCCGCACAAGCGGUGGAGCAUGUGGUUUAAUUCGAUGCAACGCGAAGAACC
rnacentral:rRNA from 1 species